ACGCAAGAUGGCGGCGCCGGGCUCUGCGUCACGGCGCUAGGCUCGGGGCGUGGCGCGCUGAGGGAAGCGCCGGGACCGCCGGGUCCCGAUCCCGGUCUCGGUCCCGGUGUCCCUCGGCCCAUCCCGGUUCCCCCAUCCCGGCCACGCCAUGGAUUGUUACACGGCCAACUGGAACCCGCUGGGCGAGGAGACCUUCUACCGGAAGCUGGAGCUCUACUCCAUGGAAUGGGGGCUGCGGGAGGAUCUCCGUGACUGUGUGGUGGCAGCUGCCCCGUAUGGGGGUCCCAUAGCUCUGCUGAGGAAUUCCCGGCGGGACAAGACCCCCAGCACCCGCCCGCUCCUGGAGAUCUACUCGGCCUCGGGGCUGCUCCUGGCCAGUGUCCCGUGGAAGAGCGGCCCCCUGGUGCACCUGGGCUGGACGGCGGGGGAGGACCUGCUGUGCAUCCAGGAGGAUGGCACUGUCCUGGUCUACAACCUGUUCUGCGAGUUCAAGCGGCACUUCAGCAUGGGAAACGAGGUGCUGCAGAACCACGUGCUGGAGGCGCAGGUGUUCCACACGGAGUUCGGCACGGGCGUGGCCAUCCUGACGGGAGCGCUGCGCUUCUCCCUCGCCACCAACAUCGACGACCUCAAGCUGAGGCGCCUGCCCGAGGUCCCUGGGCUGCAGAAGGCCCCGCCGUGCUGGACCGUGCUGGCCCAGGACAGGGUGACCAUGGUGCUGCUGGCCAUGGGACAGGAGCUCUUCCUGCUGGACAACACCUCCUGCUCCGUGCUGACGCCCCCCGGGCUGAGCCCCUCGGCGGGGCCGUUCCUGCACGUGGCCGUGUCCUUCACCCACCGGCAGCUGGCGCUGUUCUGCGACUCCGGCUGCGUCUGGAUGGGAGCGGCCUCGCUCAAGGAGAAGUUCUGCGAGUUCAACACCGGCAUCCGAACCCCGCCCAAGCAGAUGGUUUGGUGCACGCGGCCCCGCAGCCGGCAGCGCGCCGUGGUGCUGGCCUGGGAGCGGCAGCUCAUGGUGGUGGGCAACUCCUCGGAGUGCAUCCGCUUUGUCCUGGAUGAGGAUUCCUACCUGGUGCCCGAGCUGGACGGGGUCAGGAUCCUGUCCCGCAGCACCCACGAGUUCCUGCACGAGAUCCCCGAGGCCAGCCAGGAGAUUUUCCGCAUCGCCUCCAUGGCCCCGGGCGCUCUGCUGCUGGAGGCUCAGAAGGAGUACGAGAAGGAGAGCCAGAAGGCCGACGAGUACCUGCGGGAGAUCCGCGAGCAGCAGCUGCUCCCCGAGGCCGUGGGCCAGUGCAUCGAGGCUGCGGGCUACGAGCACGAGCCUGAGACCCAGAAAUCCCUGCUGAGGGCAGCAUCCUUUGGGAAGUGUUUCCUGGAUAAGUUCCCUCCGGAGGGGUUCGUGCGCAUGUGCCAGGAGCUGCGGGUGCUCAACGCCAUCAGGGAUUACCAGAUCGGGAUCCCGCUCACCUUCACCCAAUACAAGCAGCUCACCAUCGAGGUGCUGCUGGACAGGCUGGUGCUGCGCCGCCUGUACCCGCUGGCCAUCCGCAUCUGCGAGUUCCUGCGCCUGCCCGAGAUGCAGGGCGUCAGCCGCAUCCUGGCACACUGGGCCUGCUACAAGGUGCAGCAGAAGGACAAGUCGGACGAGGAGGUGGCCCAGGCCAUCAACCAGAAGCUCGGGGACACGGCGGGCAUCUCCUACUCGGACAUCGCCACGCGCGCCUACGACUGCGGCCGCGCCGAGCUGGCCAUCAAGCUGCUGGAGUACGAGCCCCGGAGCGGGGAGCAGGUGCCGCUGCUGCUCAAGAUGAAACGGAGCAAACUGGCCCUGGGCAAAGCCAUCGAGAGCGGGGACACCGACCUGGUGUACACCGUUGUGCUGCACCUCAAGAACGAGCUCAACCGCGGCUCCUUCUUCAUGACCCUGCAGAACCAGCCCGUGGCGCUGAGCCUGUACCGCCAGUUCUGCCGGCACCAGGAGCGGGAGACGUUGAAGGAUUUGUACAACCAGGACGACAACCACCAGGAGCUGGGCAACCUGCACGUGCUGGGGGGCUACGGCCAGAAGCGGAUCGAGGGCCGCGUGGCCGCCCUGCAGAACGCCCUGGAUGAGUUCUACAAGGCCAAGAACGACUUUGCUGCCAAGGCCACCGAGGAGCAGAUCAAGCUGCUGCGGCUGCAGCGGCACCUGCAGGAGGAGCUGGACAAGCCCUACCUGGACCUGUCCCUGCACGACACCGUGGCCACCCUCAUCCUGGACGGGCACCACAAGCGCGCCGAGCAGCUCUACCGGGACUUCAGGAUCCCGGACAAGAGGUACUGGUGGCUGAAGAUCAACGCCCUGGCCACCCGCGGGGACUGGGAGGAGAUGGAGAAGUUCUCCAAGAGCAAGAAGUCGCCCAUUGGGUACCUGCCCUUCGUGGAGGUGGCGGUGAAGCACCACAACCGCUACGAGGCCAAGAAAUACGCGCCGCGUGUGCCGCCCGAGCAGCGCGUCAAGGCCUUCGUGCUCGUGGGGGACCUGGAGCAGGCGGCCGAGGCGGCCGUGGAGCGCAGGAACGAGGCCGAGAUGAGCCUGGUGCUGUCCCGCUGCUCCCCCGGCACCGACAGCGCCCUGGUGGAGAGGCUGAACCGCGCCCGGGCACAGCUCCUCAAAAAGUGACACUGGGGACACGCCGGGGACAUCCCGGGGACACUGCAGGGGCAGCCCAUGGACAGCACCAGGAUGGACACCGGGGGGACACUCCAUGGACACCCCAGGGACACCUUGGGGACACACCAGGGACACCCCAGGGACACCCCAGGGACACCCCAUGGACACCUUGGGGACACCCCAGGGACACCGCAGGGACACCCCAGGACUACCCCAUGGACACCCCAGGGACACCUCUUGGACACCCCAGAGACACCCCAGGGACACCUUGGGGACACCCCAGGGACACCCCAGGACUACCCCAUGGAUACCCCCAAGGACACCCCAGGGACACCCCAGGGA